rnacentral:misc_RNA from 1 species
GUAAUUUAUUGAUUAUAUUUUUUUAAACCAAGUAUUCAGGAGGGAAUCUACUACGUAUUUUCUCUUUUCAGGAUAACCAAACGAAAAAGCGAAAGAAUCUUAAAAAUAUUCAAUUUCAUAAUAAAAUGGAUGCAGAGAUAGAGGCGGGAAGGUUCCUUAAUCAGACGCUUGGAGCUUGGGGAGAUUCUUGGAGGUCGCCGCUAUUUCGGCAGGACAUCAUUCGUAAACUUGAAGAAGCCAUUAAAGCAUCAAACAAACAAUUAGACGGCUCCGCUUUAGAAGACCACAUCUACAAGAUAACAUCAACACGCGACGAAUAUCUUCGGCUCGUCUAUAAUCUGGAGAGUCGUUUCAUCAAGAAAGACAGUGACAGAACUGGCAAUCGCCGUGCAACAGGUCCCGACACCUGUAUUGUGUGUAUUUGGUGUCAAAAUGGAGCCAUCGGUAUAUGACGCUAGAUUUAAUACGUUGACAGUCCUCAUACAAAAUGUUUUGACUUCCAUGUAAUACCUGGGAAAAUAAAGCAGCUGAAUACGUUUGGACAGUCAUUACAAAGUUAGAUUAUUACCUGAUUAUUU